AUUGAACGCUGGCGGCAGGCCUAACACAUGCAAGUCGAGCGGAGCGGCUGACGGGUGGGUAAUGCCUAGGAAUCUGCCUGGUCGUGGGGGAUAGCGUCCGGAAACGGGCGCUAAUACCGCAUACUAUCAGAUGAGCCUAGGUCGGAUUAGCUAGUUGGUGGGGUAAAGGCCUACCAAGGCGACGAUCCGUAACUGGUCUGAGAGGAUGAUCAGUCACACGGGAACGGAGAACCGGUCCAGACUCCUACGGGAGGCAGAAGUGGGGAAUAUUGGACAAGGGGCGAAAGCCUGAUCCAGCCAUGCCGCGUGUGUGAAGAAGGUCUUCGGAUUGUAAAGCACGUUAAGUGGGGAGGCGUUAACAACAGAAUAAGCAACGGCUAACUACGUGCCAGCAGCCGCGGUAAUUC
rnacentral:rRNA from 1 species